GAUGAACGCUGGCGGCGUGCCUAAUACAUGCCAGUCGAGCGAACGGACGAGAAGCUUGCUUCUCUGAUGUUAGCGGCGGACGGGUGAGUAACACGUGGAUAACCUACCUAUAAGACUGGGAUAACUUCGGGAAACCGGAGCUAAUACCGGAUAAUAUUUUGAACCGCAUGGUUCAAAAGUGAAAGACGGUCUUGCUGUCACUUAUAGAUGGAUCCGCGCUGCAUUAGCUAGUUGGUAAGGUAACGGCUUACCAAGGCAACGAUGCAUAGCCGACCUGAGAGAGUGAUCGGCCACACUGGAACUGAGACACGGUCCAGACUCCUACGGGAGGCAGCAGUAGGGAAUCUUCCGCAAUGGGCGAAAGCCUGACGGAGCAACGCCGCGUGAGUGAUGAAGGUCUUCGGAUCGUAAAACUCUGUUAUUAGGGAAGAACAUAUGUGUAAGUAACUGUGCACAUCUUGACGGUACCUAAUCAGAAAGCCACGGCUAACUACGUG
rnacentral:rRNA from 1 species